rnacentral:RNase_P_RNA from 1 species
UGAGUCGGUCGGGUGACUGCGGCACAUGUCCUAUGUGUCGAGGAAAGUCGGGACUUCAUAGGGCAAAGUGCUAGCGCGAGCUAGGUGGGGGCGACCUCACGGAAAGUGCAACAGAAAGUAGACCACCCGCAGAGGCAACUUUGUGGGAAAGGGUGAAACGGUGCGGUAAGAGCGCACCAGCGUGCGGGGCAACUCGUACGGCUUGGCAAACCCCACUUGAAGCAAGGUCAUGCAGAGAAGAUGAGCUGCUCGCUCGCCUUCGGGUACUUCUCGGGUAGACCGCAAAGAUGGAUGGUCACCUCGCUUCGGCGAACAGAAUCCCGCUUACAGACCGACUCACCAC